AUUGAACGCUGGCGGCAGGACUAACACAUGCAAGUCGAGCGAGCGGCGGACGGGUGAGAAAAGUCUGGGAAACUGCAUGACGGAGGAGGAUAACAAAUGGAAAAGGUAGCUCAUACCGCAUACCAUCAGAUGUGCACAGAUGUGAUUAGCUAGUAGGUGGGGUAAAGGCUCACCUAGGCGACGAUCCCUAGAUGGUCUGAGAGGAGGACCAGCCACAGUGGAACUGAGAUACGUGCCAGACUCCUACGGGAGACAGCAGUGGGGACUAUUGCACAAUGGGCUGAGGCCUGAUGAAGCCAUGCCGCGUGGGUGAAGAGGGCCUUCGGGUUGUAAAGCACUUUCAGCGGGGAGGCGUUACCCGCAGAAGAAGCACCGGCUAACGCCGUGCCAGCAGCCGCGGUAAUAC
rnacentral:rRNA from 1 species